rnacentral:lncRNA from 1 species
UCACUUGAUCAAUGGUAUAGGUCAAAAGUGACCAUUAAUGUAGCCUCAUAUCACAUGUUCAAAAAAGUUGAAUUAGCUCCCACUCCAAACAUCAAAGUUUAAAUAGACACAUUAAAUUUUAUUGUGAAACUUGGAAAUCUUCCAUCUCAUAAAAAUUGAAGAAGUUAUGGCCUUGGGGAGUUGAAUUUCAAAUUAGGUUUUAGACAAAAUGACCUAUAAUGUUUCAACAUAGAAAAUGAUUUUCC